GAUGAACGCUGGCGGCGUGCCUAACACAUGCAAGUCGAACGAUUAACCCGCCUUCGGGCGGUCAUAGAGUGGCGAACGGGUGAGUAACACGUGACCAACCUGCCCCCUUCACCGGGAUAGCCCCGCGAAAGCGGGAUUAACACCGGAUACUCCCGCGGGACCGCAUGGCCCCGCGGGGAAAACGAUUCAGCGGAAGGGGAUGGGGUCGCGUCCCAUUAGGUAGUAGGCGGGGCAACGGCCCACCUAGCCCGCGAUGGGUAGCCGGGUUGAGAGACCGAUCGGCCACAUUGGGACUGAGAUACGGCCCAGACUCCUACGGGAGGCAGCAGUGGGGAAUAUUGCGCAAUGGGGGAAACCCUGACGCAGCAACGCCGCGUGCGGGACGACGGCCCUCGGGCUGUAAACCGCUUUCAGCGGGGAAGACAUCGACGGUACCCGCAGAAGAAGCCCCGGCUAACUACGUGCCAGCAGCCGCGGUAACACGUAGGGGGCGAGCGUUAUCCGGAUUCAUUGGGCGUAAAGCGCGCGCAGGCGGCGCGCCAAGCGGGACCUCUAACCCCGGGGCUCAACCCCGGGCCGGGUCCCGGACUGGCGCGCUCGAGUGCGGUAGAGGCAGGCGGAAUUCCCGGUGUAGCGGUGGAAUGCGCAGAUAUC
rnacentral:rRNA from 1 species